rnacentral:rRNA from 1 species
CCCUUAGAUGUUCUGGGCUGCACGCGCGCUACACUGUCGGAUUCAGCGAGUCAUAUCCUUAACCGAAAGGUUUGGGUAAUCUUUUGAAAGUCCGACGUGAUGGGGAUUGAUCAUUGCAAUUAUUGAUCAUGAACGAGGAAUUCCUAGUAAGCGCGAGUCAUCAGCUCGCGUUGAUUACGUCCCUGCCCUUUGUACACACCGCCCGUCGCUACUACCGAUUGAAUGGUUUAGUGAGAUCUUCGGAUUGGCGCCUACGCGGCUUCUCUGAGGCCACGCUGGAUGUCGAAAAGUUGCUCAAACUGUAUCAUUUAGAGGAAGUAAAAGUCGUAACA